AAGGGCCGACGCGAUACGUACACCCUCGCUGCCGGUUUUCGGCAGUGACGACACGGCAGCCUGUACGUUCGUUCGUUCGUUCGUUCGUACGUCCGUCCGUUCGCUCGUUCGUGACGAGCCCAGAAUGCUGCUGGAGGGGGCUCCAGAGCCGGCAUGGCAUCCUCGUUGUAGGGUGGAAACGGUUGGUGGGGGAUUCAGAGAGGGCUAAAACGUGAAGCGAGUUGGUUGGAGGGAGAAGAGUCGAUCCCUGGGGCACUAGCAGGGGUACUAGGGGUUGAUAUCGAGGGGCAGGGCUAGGUGGGUGAAGACGGAGAGGGCGCAGUGGUCCCGCGACCAUCAAACCAACAACACCGUCCCGACACAAAACGGCGCAUCCUGCUGCGCCCCCUUCUUCUUCUGCUCCUGCUCCUGCUUCUGCUUCUGCUUCUUCUUCUUCAUCGUCGACGCGUUCCUGAUUCACCGUAGUCGACCACCUCGGCCACCUUCAAACCGUUACUUCCACCAUACGACGAGACUCGAUUCAUCUCGGAUCCAAGAGAUUACCAACAUCGAAUAUCAUCCAAUGGACCUUGGAUAGGAUCCCUGUACCGUUCUCCAGAACGGUGACCCUCCUACCGGAGGACGUUCGGAAACGUUCAACGAUUGAUCUACCGGAGGAUGAAGAGUUCACUGGCAGAUACCAGGUAGAACCAUGCGGUUCGUCGGCCCGGUACCAGGGUUCUCAUGAAUGGAGGAGGGUUCGUCAGGAUCGAUGAAGAGGGCGUGCCUUUCAGGGGAGGAUUGGUAUCCGUGACGUUUUCAACCCCACCUGAGAAGGGCGCAAACGGAGUGCACGUGCUCGAUUACGUCACAAGGAUAGCCGGCUUGUGACGAGAGUAAAGCCAUUCAGUGAUCCUGUCUCGUAGGGCAUUCGACGACCGGCCACGUUUCCGGUCGCACCGUUCUACGGACAUCGUUAUCCAGUGGUAAGGGUCGUUCGCUUUGUUUUUCAUCCAGACAAUCCAAAGAAGAGCAUUAGUAUCGUAGAUCUUCUCCUAAUUUUUUUUUAUAGUAACGUUUCUUUCGACUUUUCAAGUGUAACGGUGCACGAGGGUUAACUUUCCUUUUUGUAAUUUCCUUAGAACUAAACAGCAAGUAAAAAUGCCAAUUUUUCUCGUAGCACCUCCAGAAGUCCCAUAAGUGUCAUUCGCGUCCUUGAGAUUUUAUUUAAGUCCCGUAUCGCCACGCCCGGUUACACACCCCUGUUUCUUUGCACUUUGCUCGAGUUUCUAUAAGCACCUUCGUCUUUCGAAUGUUACCAGAGAAAUUCGUACUAGGAUACAUCGGCAAACGCCCCUGUCUCGUUCGAAAAAUUUCUUCGCUUCAUUUUCCAAAUUCGUUUCACGUUCUUCUCGCCCUUUUCACACGGUUAGAAAUGCAACUUGUCAUGUCCGCGUCGUAGAUGUCAAGGUGGGCAGCAUUUAAAUAGCUCCGUAUUAAAUUCCUCGUAUCCAUGGGUGUCUCCUGCAAGGGUUAAUAGGCUGAGAUCGGGCGACAAGAAGGGGAGGGUUUAAAUCGAUGGAUUAAAGCCCCCUUUCGGGGUAACCCUGACCCACAGUUCUGGCAGACGAGAUGCCAGCCCUACGAGGGAAUGCCUCAUUGUGCCAGGGUAAAGCACGGAUGUGAAUUGGCCUUUAGGGCGAUCGUAGCUUUACGAGCACGCGCUGGACCCCCCUUUGCGCACACACUCUCGCGUCGGCACACGCGCCCUUUAAAACGAGCAACACCCUUUUCGGACGUGUUUCGCACCCCGACGAAACCCCCCUCUGUCCUCCUCACGCUCCUUUUCUGGGACACUCGGCCAAAGAUACGCUCGGUCAGUCACCUUUACGACGACGAAAAUGAUGGGUUUCCGGUCUCGCGCGACAACGUUCCUCCCAUUGUCUUCGAUAUCUUUGUUCCUUGCAUUCGGUUAUAGUUCAAGUCUGUCCACUAAGGAUGCUCUGAAAUUUCAGGACACCAGAUAACAGAAAUUAUUCGUUUAUUUAUUUAAUUGUAUUCCUAUAGCGCGAGUGACCAUGGUUUAUUUGAAAAGUGCUCUGUUUUUAAAACGAUUGCAUGUCUUCGGAAUGAUAUAAUUUAUCAAGGGAAAAUAGAUGAGUGAGUGUAAUUAUUUAUUUCAUAAAAUGUAAAGUCUCGAACGAAUCGCUGUCCAUCGAUGAACAUCCAUCAGGAUCGGCGUUGAUAUUAGUCAGGGCAUCCCAUAUGUCACUUUCCACGGCUGGAAAAAGUACGGAAUGGGGUGGCUUUCUUGAUUAUGCGAAUAUCUACAGACAAUGGAACCCCAACGUCAGCUGCUCCCCGGUCCUGGGAUAUCACGGGGUCGUACACCCUCCGCGAAAUAAGCAAUAAGUUAUGGUGGGACUGACGAACCCCCCGCAGAACCACCCUACCCAUCGUCGACCCACACCCCCUUGGCUAUCCCCUAAUCGUGGGUCCAUAAGACGAGUGCUAUCGUUCCAUAGUACAGUUUCGACGCUCAUCAAACUCGGUUCACAUCGCGACGUGCGCCAUCAUCCUGUGUAUUAUUUUUCUUUUUUUUUUUUAACCUCGUGUGUCGGGUCAAUCAUGACCCAAACCUUGGGGAACAUACACAACGAUGCUUCGAUUAAAAUUAUGCAGUCAAAUUUUUCAUAUUAAAAAGGGAAUAAUAAUUGAAAGAAUUGAUCAAAAUUUAGAAAGUGUUACGAUUUGAAAUUGUCGACGCUUUGGAAUUCUGAUAGUUUGGUUCGUGACAUGGAAACUAUUUAUCUAUUAUAGUGUUGAAUAAUUAUAUUUCGUCUUUUUUUAUUUUUCAAAUUUUGUGACGAUAAUCCGUCGUUUGAUGUAGAGGACAUCGUGAACGACAGUGUACCUUACAGAGAUGUUAGACUCGAUCGUUGGUGGAUUAGCUGAAGAAGAAAUGCAAUCAAUACGGAGAGGUCGAUGGAAGGAAGAUUCGUGUGAGUCUGUGCUCCUUGCGUUCACUGCGGGCUUCCAUGUGCCAACUUUUCAAAAUUCAUAAGGCACGCGGUGAAUGCCAAGAGCGGACCAAAUUCAACGUUUUAUGAUUCUCAACGCUAGCGAAGACCACUGGAUUUCAUGGUCGAAAACGCGUUACCCUUGUGUUAUACGACAGAACUGUAGUGCAUUGAACGUGUAGACGACUCUCUGAAUCGACAAACACCAUGUACAGUAACAACCCCUCUGAAUACUUUGUACAUAUUUUGUAAUAAAAAAGAGCCACCGUUUUACCCCUUUGUUGUGAUGUACCUCCGUCUCUCAAUCAUUUAUCCAUCAUAACGCUA